GACGAACGCUGGCGGCGUGCUUAACACAUGCAAGUCGAACGGAAAGGCCCUGCUUUUGUGGGGUGCUCGAGUGGCGAACGGGUGAGUAACACGUGAGUAACCUGCCCUUGACUUUGGGAUAACUUCAGGAAACUGGGGCUAAUACCGGAUAGGAGCUCCUGCUGCAUGGGGGGGGUUGGAAAGUUUCGGCGGUAGGGGAUGGACUCGCGGCUUAUCAGCUUGUUGGUGGGGUAGUGGCUUACCAAGGCUUUGACGGGUAGCCGGCCUGAGAGGGUGACCGGCCACAUUGGGACUGAGAUACGGCCCAGACUCCUACGGGAGGCAGCAGUGGGGAAUAUUGCACAAUGGGCGGAAGCCUGAUGCAGCAACGCCGCGUGCGGGAUGACGGCCUUCGGGUUGUAAACCGCUUUCGCCUGUGACGAAGCGUGAGUGACGGUAAUGGGUAAAGAAGCACCGGCUAACUACGUG
rnacentral:rRNA from 1 species